GUUUUUAUUGUGCGACUCAUGUCUAAUAUGGAGUGGCCAUGUACCGAGGGGAGUAGAAGUGCCAGGAGACGGACGGCAUCUAUUUGGUCGAAUGCUACUAGGGGAAGUUUCCCCAUCUAGAAGAGACUCCUGCAAACAGUGGUCAGGGGGUCCGUUAUGGGUCUCUUCAUAAUAUCUGGAGUCUUUGGAAUCAAUCCUGCAGCACCUUUCCCCGGCUUCUGUAUGGGGGACUGAGUGGACACAGGAGGAUCGGAAAAUUCCAUUUCCCACGAGUCCGGUGGCUCUCUUUGCUUCAUUGCCAAAAACUCAUCCUUCCAGUUGUGAAUGGGUGUAUUCUCACCCCGACUAGACUCUUUGACAUCCGUUUCAGAAUUUCCUCUGGACGUCCUCUCUCUGCAGACUGUGGAGGACAUACUGCACCUGAAGCAUCAGGCUCAUCUGUCUCCUCUCUGCCUCAAUCCUCAUCACCUUCUCUUGAUGAACAGCUUUCCGCUGAGCUUUCAGCAACUACAGCAGAGCAAAGAAGACCCAACCAAACAGGACGCACCACAGCUGGCCAUCAGUGCCCUAAAUUCUCAGCCAUCUAAAUUUAUGUACAUACAGUGCUUGU